rnacentral:rRNA from 1 species
UACGAAGGGGGCUAGCGUUGCUCGGAAUCACUGGGCGUAAAGGGUGCGUAGGCGGGUCUUUAAGUCAGGGGUGAAAUCCUGGAGCUCAACCUCCAGAACUGCCUUUGAUACUGAAGGAUCUUGAGUUCGGGAGAGGUGAGUGGAACUGCGAGUGUAGAGGGUGAAAUUCGUAGAUAUUCGCAAGAACACCAGUGGCGAAGGCGGCUCACUGGCCCGAUACUGACGCUGA